CCUACGGGUGGCAGCAGUGAGGAAUAUUGGUCAAUGGACGAGAGUCUGAACCAGCCAAGUAGCGUGAAGGAUGACUGCCCAAUGGGUCGUAAACUUCUUUUAUAUGGGAAUAAAAUGUUCCACGUGUGGGGUUUUGUAUGUACCAGAUGAAUAAGGAUCGGCUAACUCCGUGCCAGCAGCCGCGGUAAUACGGAGGAUCCGAGCGUUAUCCGGAUUUAUUGGGUUUAAAGGGAGCGUAGGUGGAUUGUUAAGUCAGUUGUGAAAGUUUGCGGCUCAACCGUAAAAGUGCAGUUGAAACUGGCAGUCUUGAGUACAGUAGAGGUGGGCGGAAUUCGUGGUGUAGCGGUGAAAUGCAUAGAUAUCGCGAAGAACUCCGAUUGCGAAGGCAGCUCACUGGACCGCAACUGACACUGAGGCUCGAAAGUGUGGGUAUCAAACAGGAUUAGAUACCCUUGUAGUC
rnacentral:rRNA from 1 species